rnacentral:rRNA from 1 species
GGGUUGUGAGGUUAAGCGACUAAGCGUACACGGUGGAUGCCCUGGCAGUCAGAGGCGAUGAAGGACGUGCUAAUCUGCGAUAAGCGUCGGUAAGGUGAUAUGAACCGUUAUAACCGGCGAUUUCCGAAUGGGGAAACCCAGUGUGUUUCGACACACUAUCAUUAACUGAAUCCAUAGGUUAAUGAGGCGAACCGGGGGAACUGAAACAUCUAAGUACCCCGAGGAAAAGAAAUCAACCGAGAUUCCCCCAGUAGCGGCGAGCGAACGGGGAGCAGCCCAGAGCCUGAAUCAGUGUGUGUGUUAGUGGAAGCGUCUGGAAAGGCGCGCGAUACAGGGUGACAGCCCCGUACACAAAAAUGCACAUGCUGUGAGCUCGAUGAGUAGGGCGGGACACGUGGUAUCCUGUCUGAAUAUGGGGGGACCAUCCUCCAAGGCUAAAUACUCCUGACUGACCGAUAGUGAACCAGUACCGUGAGGGAAAGGCGAAAAGAACCCCGGCGAGGGGAGUGAAAAAGAACCUGAAACCGUGUACGUACAAGCAGUGGGAGCACAGAGCAAUCUGUGUGACUGCGUACCUUUUGUAUAAUGGGUCAGCGACUUAUAUUCUGUAGCAAGGUUAACCGAAUAGGGGAGCCGAAGGGAAACCGAGUCUUAACUGGGCGUUAAGUUGCAGGGUAUAGACCCGAAACCCGGUGAUCUAGCCAUGGGCAGGUUGAAGGUUGGGUAACACUAACUGGAGGACCGAACCGACUAAUGUUGAAAAAUUAGCGGAUGACUUGUGGCUGGGGGUGAAAGGCCAAUCAAACCGGGAGAUAGCUGGUUCUCCCCGAAAGCUAUUUAGGUAGCGCCUCGUGAAUUCAUCUCCGGGGGUAGAGCACUGUUUCGGCAAGGGGGUCAUCCCGACUUACCAACCCGAUGCAAACUGCGAAUACCGGAGAAUGUUAUCACGGGAGACACACGGCGGGUGCUAACGUCCGUCGUGAAGAGGGAAACAACCCAGACCGCCAGCUAAGGUCCCAAAGUCAUGGUUAAGUGGGAAACGAUGUGGGAAGGCCCAGACAGCCAGGAUGUUGGCUUAGAAGCAGCCAUCAUUUAAAGAAAGCGUAAUAGCUCACUGGUCGAGUCGGCCUGCGCGGAAGAUGUAACGGGGCUAAACCAUGCACCGAAGCUGCGGCAGCGACGCUUAUGCGUUGUUGGGUAGGGGAGCGUUCUGUAAGCCUGUGAAGGUGUGCUGUGAGGCAUGCUGGAGGUAUCAGAAGUGCGAAUGCUGACAUAAGUAACGAUAAAGCGGGUGAAAAGCCCGCUCGCCGGAAGACCAAGGGUUCCUGUCCAACGUUAAUCGGGGCAGGGUGAGUCGACCCCUAAGGCGAGGCCGAAAGGCGUAGUCGAUGGGAAACAGGUUAAUAUUCCUGUACUUGGUGUUACUGCGAAGGGGGGACGGAGAAGGCUAUGUUGGCCGGGCGACGGUUGUCCCGGUUUAAGCGUGUAGGCUGGUUUUCCAGGCAAAUCCGGAAAAUCAAGGCUGAGGCGUGAUGACGAGGCACUACGGUGCUGAAGCAACAAAUGCCCUGCUUCCAGGAAAAGCCUCUAAGCAUCAGGUAACAUCAAAUCGUACCCCAAACCGACACAGGUGGUCAGGUAGAGAAUACCAAGGCGCUUGAGAGAACUCGGGUGAAGGAACUAGGCAAAAUGGUGCCGUAACUUCGGGAGAAGGCACGCUGAUAUGUAGGUGAGGUCCCUCGCGGAUGGAGCUGAAAUCAGUCGAAGAUACCAGCUGGCUGCAACUGUUUAUUAAAAACACAGCACUGUGCAAACACGAAAGUGGACGUAUACGGUGUGACGCCUGCCCGGUGCCGGAAGGUUAAUUGAUGGGGUUAGCGGUAACGCGAAGCUCUUGAUCGAAGCCCCGGUAAACGGCGGCCGUAACUAUAACGGUCCUAAGGUAGCGAAAUUCCUUGUCGGGUAAGUUCCGACCUGCACGAAUGGCGUAAUGAUGGCCAGGCUGUCUCCACCCGAGACUCAGUGAAAUUGAACUCGCUGUGAAGAUGCAGUGUACCCGCGGCAAGACGGAAAGACCCCGUGAACCUUUACUAUAGCUUGACACUGAACAUUGAGCCUUGAUGUGUAGGAUAGGUGGGAGGCUUAGAAGUGUGGACGCCAGUCUGCAUGGAGCCGACCUUGAAAUACCACCCUUUAAUGUUUGAUGUUCUAACGUUGACCCGUGAUCCGGGUUGCGGACAGUGUCUGGUGGGUAGUUUGACUGGGGCGGUCUCCUCCUAAAGAGUAACGGAGGAGCACGAAGGUUGGCUAAUCCUGGUCGGACAUCAGGAGGUUAGUGCAAUGGCAUAAGCCAGCUUGACUGCGAGCGUGACGGCGCGAGCAGGUGCGAAAGCAGGUCAUAGUGAUCCGGUGGUUCUGAAUGGAAGGGCCAUCGCUCAACGGAUAAAAGGUACUCCGGGGAUAACAGGCUGAUACCGCCCAAGAGUUCAUAUCGACGGCGGUGUUUGGCACCUCGAUGUCGGCUCAUCACAUCCUGGGGCUGAAGUAGGUCCCAAGGGUAUGGCUGUUCGCCAUUUAAAGUGGUACGCGAGCUGGGUUUAGAACGUCGUGAGACAGUUCGGUCCCUAUCUGCCGUGGGCGCUGGAGAACUGAGGGGGGCUGCUCCUAGUACGAGAGGACCGGAGUGGACGCAUCACUGGUGUUCGGGUUGUCAUGCCAAUGGCACUGCCCGGUAGCUAAAUGCGGAAGAGAUAAGUGCUGAAAGCAUCUAAGCACGAAACUUGCCCCGAGAUGAGUUCUCCCUGACUCCUUGAGAGUCCUGAAGGAACGUUGAAGACGACGACGUUGAUAGGCCGGGUGUGUAAGCGCAGCGAUGCGUUGAGCUAACCGGUACUAAUGAACCGUGAGGCUUAACCUUACAACGCCGAAG